GAGCGGAGAUGAGGUGCUUGCACCUUAUCUUAGCGGCGGACGGGUGAGUAAUGCUUAGGAAUCUGCCUAUUAGUGGGGGACAACAUUCCGAAAGGAAUGCUAAUACCGCAUACGUCCUACGGGAGAAAGCAGGGGAUCUUCGGACCUUGCGCUAAUAGAUGAGCCUAAGUCGGAUUAGCUAGUUGGUGGGGUAAAGGCCUACCAAGGCGACGAUCUGUAGCGGGUCUGAGAGGAUGAUCCGCCACACUGGGACUGAGACACGGCCCAGACUCCUACGGGAGGCAGCAGUGGGGAAUAUUGGACAAUGGGGGGAACCCUGACCCAGCCAUGCCGCGUGUGUGAAGAAGGCCUUAUGGUUGUAAAGCACUUUAAGCGAGGAGGAGGCUACUGAGACUAAUACUCUUGGAUAGUGGACGUUACUCGCAGAAUAAGCACCGGCUAACUCUGUGCCAGCAGCCGCGGUAAU
rnacentral:rRNA from 1 species